AUUUGUGUUCCCUUUCCGCGAGAGGGGAUAAAACUGUGGCAAUGACUAAGGAGUGAUUCUGAGAAAUGGAAAUUUAUGUCUGCAAAGCUUUUGAAGCUGGAAUCAAAUGGAGCACUUCAGCAUUUUAUAGACGCUGAAAUGAACUCAAGAAGGGCAUGAGGAAAGCCAGGGCGGGCCAAGAAAAGUUCUUCGCAAACAAGAUUAAAGAAAAUUCCAAUGUAUUCUAUGCAUACAUCAAGAUCAAGAGAAGAACAAGAAUCGGAGCGAGUAGCGAAGAUGCAGUGUCACAGGAUACGCCUGAGUUAACAGUUAAAGAGGGACAGACCAUAACACUGAACUGCACCUACUUCACAUCGCAAGCCUUUCCCUACCUCUUCUGGUACAUGCAGGGUUUUGGGGAAGCUCCGAUAUAUUUAUUGAAGAGAUACGGGAAGGGCGGGAAGGAUCGGUCUUCAGAUGUCCCUUUCCAUUUCUCAGCGGAUUUUGACCCGGAUAAGAAAACAGUUUCAUUGACAGUCUCCGGGACCCUUGUCUCCGACUCUGCUGUGUAUCACUGCGCUCUGAGCCCCACACUGCAGCAGGUGCGCAGUCAUCCGUACAAAAACCUGUAGAGGACUCUCACCUCUCUUCCCAACUCGGACCUAUGAUCUGAUUUCACAACGGAAUCCACUUCAAAAUUUCAUUGAGGGUGAUGACAGACUUUUAGUUAAAGAUUAAAUCUAAAAAAACACAAUUUUCCAGACGUAACACCAGAUCCAUUAAUUGCCUGAAGAGCGCAGCAAAUACUAUUUUCCGCAUUGGGCACAAUCAGCGUCUGAGCCUUUGCAACCACACAGAACGGAGGAUUGCAAAUAUUCGAAUGCACUCCUCUGGAUCCACUGUCUUUUCAUCUUUGUCUUCAAUUACGAUUUAUUGUUGUGAAGCGGCGAUUCUUCGUUGAAUACAACGCCGCCAGGGGUAAACAUGAACUAUCCAUCCACCAGUCAUGCCCCAUACCUGCAAGGCCCAGUGUUCAUGCAAGAUGGCGCCGGAGCAUGUCAACUCGUUGCAAGCUACAGUCUGGAGAUCUGCUUAUUCCUUCCAUUAUAAUAGUUUUAUUCAUGUCAAUCCUCAUUCUAAGACUGUAAGAAUUGCUGUAUUGUGCAUUAUGUUAUUGCCUUUUCCCUUGUACUAUUUCG